UACGUAGGGUGCAAGCGUUAAUCGGAAUUACUGGGCGUAAAGCGUGCGCAGGCGGUGAUGUAAGUCAGGUGUGAAAUCUCGGAGCUCAACUCCGAAACUGCACUUGAUACUGCCUUGCUUGAGUACUGGAGAGGAGAUUGGAAUUUACGGUGUAGCAGUGAAAUGCGUAGAUAUCAAGAGGAACACCUGCGGCGAAGGCGGGUUGCUGGGCCGACACUGACGCUGAUGCGCGAAAGCUAGGGGAGCGAACGGG
rnacentral:rRNA from 1 species